UUGUUGUUAAAAUAAUAAUUUUAUUUUUCUUAAUUCAGAAAAAUUAAUUUUGAAAACAACUUCAUCGUCGUCUUUCUUCAUCAUCAUCAGAUGGAUGGAUCCAUAAACACAUCCUGAAAGAAAUUCAAUGUUCGCUUUCCUUUUUUUCCGAUUAGCAUAUUCGAUCGAUCUCCCAUGUCGCCUGUAGAGACCUGACCUGACCUCUUCUCCUCCCUAAAUUGUAAUCGAAGAGAGAGUCUAUCUAAUAAACGGGGAAUGAGCAACUUCGGGGACUUGAAUCCGGUCUUCUCAGCGUCGGGUCGAAGCACCAAUAACCCUGACCCGGCUUUCAAUUCGCGUCUCUCGAAGCCGAGAUUCUCCAAGGUCAGAAGGCAAGUCAAGCCUGUGAUGAAACCCUCCUCCGUCACCUCCGAUUCCUUGCCUGCUCAUCAGGGAUUCAACCCCUUUCUCUACCGCGGAUCUCCCGACGACGCCGGAUUUGGCGGCCGCAGCGUUCGCGAAGGUUUUGUGUUUGGAGGAUCGAGCUCUGGUGACCAAGUUUUGGAGGAUUUGGGGAAGCUGAAGAUUGAGGUUGAUGAUGUGCAUUUUGAUUCUAGGCUUCCUGGUGAUAUGCAGAAUCUCAAUAUCAAGGAUUCUCGUUCCAAUGCGGGUAGGAACGUGGAUGAUGAUGAGCUUCAAUCUCUCUUGAGGAAUAAACUCAAUCUUGAUCCCAGCAAAGAUAAUAGCUUUGGUUCUUCUUCUUCUUCGUGGAGUUCAGGUGGACAUGUGAUCCAUGAAGGUUUGGAGAAGUUGAAUAUCUCAGAGAAGGCGAUGAUUCAUAAUGCCAAAGCCAAAGCAUCAAUGGAUUAUGUUGGAGGAGGUAUAGCUACUGAUGGGAUCAACAUACGGCAUGCAUCAGCUCAGAACGUUUCGGCAGAAUCACUUCAGGGAAGUGGAAGUGAGAAGAAAGUUCAUGGCUUUAGCAGUUCAUGUCCGAUGAACUAUAGUUUUGUAGGUACAGAACCGCCUAGAAACGCUCAUGAUGCGACGACCUCUACAGUAAAUCCUCCCGAGUUCAGUUUUUCGAGUAAUGGAAAGAGUGGGGGGACCAAUUUUAUGGAGUUCAAGACCCCCAAUUUGAAGCCAAAUCCUUUUUCUAGCUUGGACCAGAAACUGGGGUUCAAUGCAAAGAAGGACAAUGUUGGUGCCUCAAGAGGGAGAAGGAAAGGGGUUAAGCAGCCUGUGAAAGUCCAGCUUAAUAUUGGAAAUGAAUUUGCUUUUGCUGAAAGUGCGUUUCCACAAGGAACGAGCGAGGUUUCUGAUUCUUAUUCACCAAUGGAUGUAUCUCCUUAUGAGGAGACUGCAGAUUCUAGAGACUUCUCUGCUGGAUCAGAUCAGUUUGCGAAUCCUGACAACAUACCUCCUUCUGCUUUAAAUGAUGCGUUUGAUGCAGAGCUAGCUGCUGCAACCGAACGUAUGGACAUAAACGAGGAGGAUGAAGUUAAUAACAAUCAAGCUGAGGGACUUAAUACUGGCGAAUGUGCUGAGGGUGAUGACCUUGCUGAAGAUUCUAUAUCUGGGGCUGAAACGGAAAGUUUUAAAACAGCAGCGGAAGAGAUGGAAACUAGUAGUGAUACUUUCGCCUCAGCUUCAGAAAGUGAGGUUACUUCAAGCUAUAGGCCUGAUAGGCAAGAAAAUGACAACCACCCCCUGUUUAAUUCAAAUGCUGCUAGCUCCAGCUUUACCUUUUCUGCUUCAUCGUUUUCCGGAGUGCAAGGGCAACAAUCAACGUCUAAGCGUAUCAGCAGGAAGAAGUAUCCAGUUCCACUUGGGCAGGAUCCAUAUAUCUUAAUUCCAAAUGCUUCAUCAUUCAAAUCUUCACAACACUCGCCGGUAACUGGUGUUCAGUCACACCUGUCCAUGGGGAAACCCAGUGAAAGGGAUCCGUUUACUCGUCUACAAAAGCCUAUUAAUAAUUCUGUGAUGGACAAAGCACGAGACGAAAAAGAUGCGUCUAAUGCAGCGCAAGAAGCAUGUGAAAAAUGGCGAUUAAGAGGAAACAAUGCUUACAAAAAUGAAGAUCUUUCCAGAGCUGAGGAAUCUUACAGUCAAGGGAUAGAUUCAGUGCCUAAAAUCGAGACGUCUAGAAACUGUCUCAGGGCACUGAUGCUUUGCUACAGCAACCGUGCUGCAACACGCAUGGCCCUUGGAAGAAUGAGAGAAGCAAUAGCAGAUUGUACGAUGGCUUCUUCAAUAGACCCCAACUUCCUUAAAGUCCAAGUCCGAGCUGGAAAUUGUUAUCUUUCACUUGGGGAGAUUGAAGACGCAUCCAGGUACUUUAAAAAAUGCUUGCAAACUGGAAGUGACAUCUGCGUGGACCGCAAAAUCAGUGUAGAGGCUUCUGAAGGUCUACAAAAGGCACAGAGAGUUUCGGAAUGCAUGCAUGAAGCUGGCUGUCGUUUGCAGCUCAGAACAUCAACUGAUGCUGAGAAAGCUUUGGAAAUAUUGGAAGAAGCUCUGCUGAUAAGUCCAUACUCUGAAAACUUACUCAUCAUGAAAGGAGAGGCGCUUUUGAUGCUUGAGAAGUAUGAAGCAUCAAUAAAGCUUUGUGAGCAGACAAUUGAUUUGGCUGGAAAGAAUUCUCUUCCCGUAGAUGCUAAUAAAUACCCAGAUUCUGAUGACACUCCCAAGGAUAUAAACUUUGGAAUCUGGCGGUGUCGUCUCAUGCUUAAAUCAUAUUUCCAUAUGGGAAAGCUUGAGGAGGCGAUUAAUUCUCUAGAGAAGCAAGAACAAUUACUAUCUGCUACAAAAAGAGAUGGACACAAACCUCUUGAAUCCUUCAUCCCUUUGGCUGCUACCAUACGUGAGUUGUUGCGCCUUAAGUCGGCAGGGAAUGAAGCAUUUAAGUCUGGACGACACGCUGAAGCAGUUGAACAUUACACAGCAGCCUUGUCGUGCAACGUGGAAUCACGUUCUUUUACAGCUGUGUGUUUCUGUAAUCGUUCUGCGGCAUAUAAAGCUCUUGGUCAACUCUCUGACGCCAUUGCAGACUGCAGUCUUGCCAUUGCUCUCGACCAAAAUUACUCAAAGGCUAUUUCUAGACGGGCCACGUUGUUCGAGAUGCUGAGGGAUUAUGGACAGGCGGCGAGUGACAUGCAUAGAUAUGUGAAUAUUCUAACCAAGCAAAUGGAGGAGAAAACCUCUGGGAUUCACGACAGAGUAACUAAUUUGGCCAACGACAUUAGACAAGCUCGUAUGCGACUUUCUGAACUGGAAGAGAAAUCAAGGAAAGAAACUUCGUUGGAUAUGUACCUCGUCUUGGGUGUAGUGCCAUCAUGCUCUGCUUCAGAUAUCAGAAAGGCAUAUAGGAAGGCCGCACUCAAACACCAUCCCGACAAGGCUGGUCAGUCUUUGACAAGAAACGAGAGUAAAGAUGAGAGAUUAUGGAAGGAGAUAGGAGAAGAAGUACGCAGAGAUACUGAUAAACUAUUUAAAAUGAUUGGAGAAGCGUAUGCUGUGCUUUCAGACCCUGCAAAGCGUUCUCAGUAUGAUCUUGAAGAAGAGAUGCAAAAUUCACAAAGGAGACGUGAUGGAGCGAGCACAUCUGGAGCAGAGCCAGAUGUUAAUUAUCCUUUCAGUAACAGUAGAAGAAACUGGAGAGAAGGAUGGAGUUCUUCACGUAGGGAACCAUCAGGUCCGAGAUGGUUUGAACAAAACCGAUCAAACAGAUACCCCUUGUAACUGUAGAGCAUCUCCAAGAUAUCUCUUUGACCAAAAUCAUCACCAGCAAAAGUUUUUGUGGCCUCCUAUGCAAAUACACAGCUUAAUACGGAGUGGAUAAAAUAUUAGAAGAUGCUCAGAUUCAUGGAGAAGAGAGAAUACACAUAACAGGAUAAAGAUGGAAAUACUUGUGAUGCAGAGAAUUUUUGCUCAGAUAGUGAAUAAAUUGAGUUGAAUCCUAUGUUACAUGGAAACGGAAGCGGAUACGUGGAAGCGGAAGCGUAAGGAAGCGCAGAAGCGAGAUUUUUUAAAAUAUUAGGAAGCGGCGUGAUUCCAAAACGGAAUCAUAAGCUUCCAACAGGUUUUUAAAUAGAAUAUUUUAGAAACGUUUUGGAAGCGAGAUUCCGCAAGCUUCCACGAGGUUCCGAUUCUGAUUCCGGUUCCGAAGCGGGAAGCGGACGUCCGAUGAAGCUUCCGUGCAACGUAGGUUGAAUCAUAUAUUAAAGAGCAUUUGAUAUCACCUCCAAAAUUCAUCUUGUUUAUGGGCUAGUGUUAAAAGGUUUUUGAAGUUCUUAACGACAUUGUCAAACUUGACGAAAAACAUAUUUUUUGCUGAGUUGUCAGGUACUACACAUGCAAAAUCCAUACUAUUAUUUUGCCGGCCAACUAGUACAUGCAAAAAUCCAUAUACAAAUGUCUUUUUAAUAUUUAUAAAAAAUUCUAUAAAUCUAUAUAUUCAUGUAUUGAAGCCCGUAAAGAAAUAUGUUUUACUAAAGGGUCAAGACUAAAAGCCCAAGAGGCCCACACAGGCAUGCAUGACCUAAGUAAUGUUUCGACUGAAAACUCAGAAAAGACCUUUCUCCGUCUCCGACCGAUGGCUACCGGUGACCAGAGCAAGAAGAGAAAGCAGCGUUACCUCCCUCAGAACAGACCAGCAAAGAAGAAGGGAGCUUACCCUUUGAAGCCAGGGGUUCAAGGUUUUUUCAUCUCUUGCGAUGGCGGACGCGAAUACCAAGCUUCUCAGGAAGCUAUUAACGUCAUUGAUUCCUUUUUUGAGGAGCUAAUGCAUGGGACUGGCUUGAAAAUGAAUUCUUCUGGGGUGCUUGAGAACCCAAUUAA